GCCUGGGUGGCUCAGUCGGUUAAGCGUCCGACUUCGGCUCAGGUCACGAUCUCGCGGUCCGUGGGUUCGAGCCCCAUGUCGGGCU
rnacentral:tRNA from 1 species